rnacentral:rRNA from 1 species
AAGUACUGUAAAGGAAAGAUGAAAAGCACUUUGAAAAGAGAGUGAAAUAGCACGUGAAAUCGUUGAAGUGGAAGGGCUUAAGGCUACNCNCCUUCUUCGGAAGGGGCUAACAUCAGUUUUGCCGGAUGGAUAAAUGGUAAAGAAAGUGGCAUUUUCGGAUGUGUUAUAGCUUUAUCAAAUACGUCCNGGCNGGAUUGAGGACCGCGNCUUUAUGCAAG